rnacentral:rRNA from 1 species
UGAGGAAUAUUGGUCAAUGGGCGAGAGCCUGAACCAGCCAAGUCGCGUGAAGGAAGACAGUCCUAAGGAUUGUAAACUUCUUUUAUACGGGAAUAACGGGCGAUACGAGUAUUGCAUUGAAUGUACCGUAAGAAUAAGCAUCGGCUAACUCCGUGCCAGCAGCCGCGGUAAUACGGAGGAUGCGAGCGUUAUCCGGAUUUAUUGGGUUUAAAGGGUGCGUAGGUUGUUCGGUAAGUCAGCGGUGAAACCUGAGCGCUCAACGUUCAGCCUGCCGUUGAAACUGCCGGGCUUGAGUUCAGUGGCGGCAGGCGGAAUUCGUGGUGUAGCGGUGAAAUGCAUAGAUAUCACGAGGAACUCCGAUUGCGAAGGCAGCUUGCCUUACUGCGACUGACACUGAAGCACGAAGGCGUGGGUAUCAAACAGG